UGAAUACGAGACGCUAAGGCGUCGAAGUAGUGUAUGUCAUACUUCCAAGAAAAGCCUGCACUGUCAUAGAUAAAAAACGCCUGUACCAUAACCGACACAGGUGGGUAGGUAGAGUAUACUAAGGGGCGCGAGAUAACUCUCUCUAAGGAACUCGGCAAAAUAACUCCGUAACUUCGGGAGAAGGAGUGCCUUAUUAUUAAGGCUGCAAUAACAAGAUCCAAGCAACUGUUUAUCAAAAACACAGGUCUCCGCUAAGUCGUAAGACGAUGUAUGGGGGCUGACGCCUGCCCAGUGCCAGAAGGUUAAAGAAGUUGGUUAGCAUUUGCGAAGCUGAUAACUGAAGCCCUGGUGAACGGCGGCCGUAACAAUAACGGUCCUAAGGUAGCGAAAUUCCUUGUCGGGUAAGUUCCGACCCGCACGAAAGGCGUAAUGAUUUGGAUACUGUCUCGGAGAGGGGCUCGGUGAAAUAGACUUGUCUGUGAAGAUGCGGACUACCUGCACCAGGACAGAAAGACCCUAUGAAGCUUUACUGUAACUUGAAAUUGAAAUUGGACUUUAUUCGCGCAGCAUAGGUGGGAGGCGUUGAUUAUAAUCUUGUGGGAUUAUUGGAGCCAUCAGUGAGAUACCACUCUUGUAAUGUUAGAUUUCUAACUUUGAAUCAUUAUCUGGUCAAAGAACAGUUUCAGGCGGGCAGUUUGACUGGGGCGGUCGCCUCCUAAACGGUAACGGAGGCGUACAAAGGUUUCCUCUGAACGGUUAGAAAUCGUAUCUAGAGUGUAAAGGCAUAAGGAAGCUUGACUGUGAGACCUACAAGUCGAGCAGGGACGAAAGUCGGUCUUAGUGAUCUGACGGUACUGAGUGGAAAGGCCGUCACUCAACGGAUAAAAGUUACUCUAGGAUAACAGGCUGAUCUCCCCCAAGAGUUCACAUCGACGGGGAGGUUUGGCACCUCGAUGUCGGCUCAUCGCAUCCUGGGGCGGUAGUACGUCCCAAGGGUUGGGCUGUUCGCCCAUGAAAGCGGUACGCGAGCUGGGUUCAGAACGUCGUGAGACAGUUCGGUCCAUAUCCGGUGUAGGCGUUAGAAUAUUGAGAGGAGCCUUCUUUAGUACGAGAGGACCGAGAAGGACAUACCUCUGGUGUACCAGUUAUCGUGCCAACGGUAAACGCUGGGUAGCUAUGUAUGGAGUGGAUAACCGCUGAAAGCAUCUAAGUGGGAAGCCCACCUCAAGAUAAGUAUUCUCAU
rnacentral:rRNA from 1 species